CCUUGAUUAGUUGGCAGUUGUCAGUCAGACAUGAAAAAGGGGGAACGUGUGAAUGUGAACAAGCGCCCCUGAUGGAUUCGAACAGGCUUGUUGGAGCGUCAGUCAGUGAAGCUGCUGUUUGAUCACAGACUCAUUAACUUCAGGUUAAAGCGCCGGAAGGCAGCCGCCGCUGUCUUCUGUCCGGCAGAAUAAUUCACCCUCUCAUCUUCUCAAAGAUCUGAAGAGGAGUCUGUAG
rnacentral:lncRNA from 1 species